GAUGAAGAACGUAGCGAAAUGCGAUAAGUAAUGCGAAUUGCAGAAUUCAGUGAGUCAUCGAAUCUUUGAACGCACAUUGCGCCCUGUGGUAUUCCGCAGGGCAUGCCUGUUCGAGCGUCAUUUCAACCCUCAAGCCCCGCUUGGUGUUGGGCCCCGCCCGCCGUGGCCGGCCCUAAAGACAGUGGCGGCGCCGCCUGGCCCUCAGCGUAGUACAGCUCUCGCUCCAGGGUCCGGCGGCCGCCUGCCAGAACCCCCCCAACUCUGUGGUUGACCUCGGAUCAGGUAGGGAUACCCGCUGAACUUAAGCAUAUCAAUAAGCGGAGG
rnacentral:misc_RNA from 1 species